rnacentral:rRNA from 1 species
CGCGCAGGCGGUUCUUCAAGUCAGAGGUGAAAGCCCAGAGCUCAACUCUGGAAUGGCCUUUGAGACUAGAGAACUAGGGUACGGGAGAGGUGAGUGGAAUUCCGAGUGUAGAGGUGAAAUUCGUAGAUAUUCGGAAGGACACCAGUGGCGAAGGCGGCUCACUGGCCCGUUACCGACGCUCAGGCGCGACAGCGUGGGAGCAAACA